rfam:Oryza sativa (indica cultivar-group) chromosome 8, whole genome shotgun sequence.
AGGGACCAGGAUGAUGACUGGCCAAAUCCAGCUGGUGAUGGAGCCGGAGGCGCGCGGUGACCGGAGGCGGUGGCCUGUCGUGCUGGCAGAAAUUGCGGAGCAUGGUGGCCGGUCCGCAAUGAUAAUCUCAUCACAACAGCAGGUCGAUCUUCAGUGUAGACCUGAACAUGAAAAUACUAAAACUCUGAACUGAUUUCA